CCGACCAGGCUCAUGUCCGGGGAGACGAAGUGGACGUGGGUAUCGAUCGCGCCGGCCGUCAUGAUCAUGCCGGUGCCGUUCAUGAUCUCGGUGGAUGGGCCGAUCACCAGAUCCGGGUGGACAUCGUCCAUGAUGUCGGGGUUGCCCGACUUGCCGAUCGCGGUGAAGUGGCCGUCGCGCACCCCGACGUCGGCCUUGAUGAUCCCCCAGUAGUCCAGAAUCACCACGUUGGUGACCACCAGGUCGGGAGUGCCCUGCGAGCGUGGCGUGUGCGACUGGCCCUGAGAUUCCCGGCCGG
rnacentral:sRNA from 1 species